GAUGAAGAACGUAGCGAAAUGCGAUAAGUAGUGUGAAUUGCAGAAUUCAGUGAAUCAUCGGAUCUUUGAACGCACAUUGCGCCCUUUGGUAUUCCAAAGGGCAUGCCUGUUCGAGCGUCAUUUGUACCCUCAAGCUUUGCUUGGUGUUGGGCGUCUUGUCUCUAGCUUUGCUGGAGACUCGCCUUAAAGUAAUUGGCAGCCGGCCUACUGGUUUCGGAGCGCAGCACAAGUCGCACUCUCUAUCAGCAAAGGUCUAGCAUCCAUUAAGCCUUUUUUUCAACUUUUGACCUCGGAUCAGGUAGGGAUACCCGCUGAACUUAAGCAUAUCAAUAAGCGGAGGA
rnacentral:misc_RNA from 1 species